rnacentral:rRNA from 1 species
GAAUAUUGGACAAUGGGCGCAAGCCUGAUCCAGCCAUACCGCGUAGGUGAGGAAGGCCUUCGGGUUGUAAAGCCCUUUUGUUGGGAAAGAAAAGCAGUCGGCUAAUACCCGGUUGUUCUGACGCUACCCACAGAAUAAGCCCCGCCUCACUUCGUGCCAGCAGCCGCGGUAAUACGAAGGGUGAAAGCGUUACUCGGAAUUACUGGGCGUAAAGCGUGCGUAGGUGGUUGUUUAAGUCUGUUGUGAAAGCCCUGGGCGCAACCUGGGAAUUGCAGUGGAUACUGGGCGACUAGAGUGUGGUAGAGGGUAGUGGAAUUCCCGGUGAAGCAGUGAAAUGCGUAGAGAUCGGGAGGAACAUCCAUGGCGAAGGCAGCUGCCUGGACCAACACUGACACUGAGGCACGAAAGCGAGGGGAGCAAACAGG